rnacentral:tRNA from 1 species
GGAGGGGUGCAGGAGUGGUCUAUCUGGCUAGUCUCGAAAACUAUGCGCUCGCAAGGGUACGUGGGUUCGAAUCCCACCCCCUCCG